rnacentral:rRNA from 1 species
GUGGGGAAUAUUGCACAAUGGGCGGAAGCCUGAUGCAGCAACGCCGCGUGCGGGAUGACGGCCUUCGGGUUGUAAACCGCUUUCAGCAGGGACGAAGCGCAAGUGACGGUACCUGCAGAAGAAGCACCGGCUAACUACGUGCCAGCAGCCGCGGUGAUACGUAGGGUGCGAGCGUUGUCCGGAUUUAUGGGGCGUAAAGAGCUUGUAGGCGGUUGGUUGCGUCGAAAGUGCAAACUCAGGGCUUAACUCUGAGCCUGCUUUCGAUACGGGCUGACUGGAGGAAGGUAGGGGAGAAUGGAAUUCCCGGUGGAGCGGUGGAAUGCGCAGAUAUCGGGAGGAACACCAGUGGCGAAGGCGGUUCUCUGGACCUUUCCUGACGCUGAGAAGCGAAAGCGUGGGGAGCAAACAGGAUUAGAUACCCCAGUAGUCC